rnacentral:rRNA from 1 species
GGCGCACGGGUGAGUAACGCGUGGGUAAUCUACCUCUGAAUUGGGGAUCACAUUGUGAAAGCGAUGCUAAUACCGAAUAAUAUCCCGAGAUCUUAGGCUUUUGGGAUCAAAGGUGGCCUCUACAUGUAAGCUACUGUUUGGAGAUGAGCCCGCGUACCAUUAGCUUGUUGGUAGGGUAAUGGCCUACCAAGGCAACGAUGGUUAGCUGGUCUGAGAGGAUGAUCAGCCACACUGGAACUGACACACGGUCCAGACUCCUACGGGAGGCAGCAGUGAGGAAUUUUGCGCAAUGGGGGAAACCCUGACGCAGCAACGCCGCGUGAGUGAUGAAGGUUUUCGGAUCGUAAAGCUCUGUCAGGAGGGAAGAAACCUCAUUAGGCUAAUAUCCUAGUGAAUUGACGGUACCUCCAGAGGAAGCACCGGCUAACUCCGUGCCAGCAGCCGCGGUAAUACGGAGGGUGCGAGCGUUGUUCGGAAUUAUUGGGCGUAAAAGCGUGUAGGCGGUUUGUUAAGUCUGAUGUGAAAGCCCCGGGCUCAACCUGGGAAGUGCAUUGGAAACUGGCAGACUUGAGUACGGGAGAGGGAAGUGGAAUUUCGAGUGUAGGGGUGAAAUCCGUAGAUAUUCGAAGGAACACCAGUGGCGAAGGCGG